rnacentral:rRNA from 1 species
CAGUAGCGUAUAUUAAAGUUGUUGCAGUUAAAAGCUCGUAGUUGGAUUUCUGGUUUGACGAGUCUGACCCGCCUGGAUUUCCAGCGUGUGUGUCGGUUUUUGUCUACCAUCCUUCUGGAAAGCGUUUCUACCCUUCAUUGGGCCGGAUUCGUGCUCCAGAUCUUUUACUUUGAAGAAAUUAGAGUGUUCAAAGCAGGCUUGCGCUAUGAAUACAUUAGCAUGGAAUAAUAAUUUAGGAUUUAAACCCUAUUUUGUUGGUUCUUUAGGAUUUAAAUAAUGAUUGAUAGGGAUAGUUGGGGGUGCUAGUAUUCAGUGGCCAGAGGUGAAAUUCUGUGAUUCGCUGAAGACUAACUUAUGCGAAAGCAUUCACCAAGGAUGUCUUCUUUAAUCAAGAACGAAAGUUGGGGGAUCGAAGACGAUUAGAUACCG